CUCGGUGGCGGCCACAUCUACCCCGUAGUCUACGAGCUGCAGCCCAUCGGGAAAGGUCCAGAGAUGAAUGGGCAUGUACAUGAGAGAAACAAACUGAGCACCAUUUAAGUUCACUAUCUCCUACAUGAGCAAAGGGAUCAUGACAUAAAAUUAAUCAAUAUCACAGUACAGGAGAACACAUUUUUAAUUUCUAAGACUGCAUUCUCCUUCACUAAGCUCAGUAAACAACAUCACCUAACAAAUGUUGGGGUAUUACAAGUCCAGCUAUCAUUAGCUGGAACAAAGGUUUAAAUGUCAAGAGACGCCUCUGCACAUGAUAUACCAGGGAAUUUAUUGUUGUUGUGGAGUUCUUCACGUAAACUCAUAGAUACUGCUAGUAAAUGUGAUCCAGAUUAGCUAAUCGCAACCAUGUAAGCUUAGUUUCUGAUAAUGCCAUACUUGUCAGUGCCAAACAUGACAGUUUCUUCUUAAACUUCUCAUUGUACACUACAUAUAUUUUUUAGCUACAGCUUGGGAUUUUGCAAGUUAAUGGUUACUACUGUAAAAUAGUGAAGAGGAAAACUCAAGUAGCAAACACAAAGCCUGACAGACCAUAUAUAAUGGUAGCAUGAAUUUGACAGCAGUGACAACAACUAGAAUGGGCAAAUGCAAAAAAUAAAUGCACAUCGAUGUCCUCAAGCUUUCCUCGUCCCCUUAGCUCCUUGUUGCUGGACUUCAUCGCAUUCAUGUGGACAAACAAAGGCGAACUUAAAUGGUACAGGGAAGAAGCUUCAGAAGGUAUAUAGUGGCAUAAA
rnacentral:lncRNA from 1 species